rnacentral:rRNA from 1 species
AGUGGGGAAUAUUGCGCAAUGGGGGCAACCCUGACGCAGCCAUGCCGCGUGUGUGAAGAAGGCCUUCGGGUUGUAAAGCACUUUCAAUGGGGAAGAAAAGCGUAGCGUUAAUAGCGUUGCGCCGUGACGUUACCCAUAGAAGAAGCACCGGCUAACUCCGUGCCAGCAGCCGCGGUAAUACGGAGGGUGCGAGCGUUAAUCGGAAUUACUGGGCGUAAAGCGCGCGUAGGCGGUUUGUUAAGUCAGCUGUGAAAGCCCCGGGCUUAACCUGGGAACUGCAGUUGAUACUGGCCGACUAGAGUACGAGAGAGGGAGGUAGAAUUCCAUGUGUAGCGGUGAAAUGCGUAGAUAUAUGGAGGAAUACCGGUGGCGAAGGCGGCCUCCUGGCUCGAUACUGACGCUGAGGUGCGAAAGCGUGGGGAUCAAA